UCGCUUUGGCAGCACAUAGACUAAAACUGGAAUGCUCCAGAGAAGAUUAGGAUGGCCCUGUGCAAGGAUGACACACAAAUUCAGGAAGCAUUCCAUAUUUUU